GGGGUUGUGGCUUAGUGGUAAAGUGCUUGCCUCACAUGCAUAAAGCACUGGGUUCGAUCCUCAGCACCA
rnacentral:tRNA from 1 species